GAUUCGGUAGCACAGCGGUUAGUGCAGUCUGGCGGAAAUAGAAAGUCGCGGGUUCAAUUCCCGUCCGAUGUCA
rnacentral:tRNA from 1 species